UCUCUCUGACGAAUCUCACCCUCACCCCUCUCGGUCGAGCACCUCUCCCCCACCGCUCGAUCUCCUCGCCGCCGCCGCCGCCACCCAUGCCGGCCGGUUCCGGCAAGCUCCGGUCGCGCGCAACACGGCCCCAAGCUCCCCAAGCUCCGCCCCUCCCUCCCCUCCGUCCAGAUCCGUGCUACAAGGCCUGCACACUUGCCCGCGGCUAGGGUUUCGGGCGCCCCUGUGUUCUUGCUGCCGAGUGCCCAGGUCAGCCGCCGGCCAACGAGCAGAGCCUAACCUUGAGGCCUACAUGCGCUUCCUCGUUGACAGCAAGCUCAUCUUCCAGAUGCCUGAGAACAUCGUUGACCGCAUCGCCGUCCCAUGCUACUAAAAUCGAAUGUACAGACCAAGAGCCAGGAUUCAGAGACAGGAAAUUACUUGAACUUGUGAAAUCCAUGGUUGUUUACUUUGACCGCCUUCAGGUAUGCAACAAGUAAUUUGUGAAUGAACAAACAAUAGGGGCCUUUAGCUGUAUAGUUGUAUUAACAGUAACAAGUAACAGUGUGUGGUUACUCAGUUCGAACUGGAAAGCUUUAGCUCAGUAGAUGUACUUUGUUUAUUCUGCUUAGAACAAUAAAUGGCGUAACUACUUGAAUCUCAUAGUGGUUAUGCGGCAUAUUAUCUAACCUUUUUAUGCCGUAAAUUAUAGUUCCCUAGGAAGGAGCCGGAACAUUUCUUUCAUCAUUGUUGGCUCGAUGCUGCCGAUUGACAUUUUAGUUAUCUCUACCUAUCAGAUGUCGGCCACACAACAUUGCUCUCGUCGAUCUCGAAGCACGCGCCGUCGUGGCCUGCCUCCGGCUGCUUCAGCAGGCCAAGGAACCGGAAUGCGCCCACACCCGGCGACCUAGGCAUCUCCAUCGACCGUCCGAUUGUUACACCAAGACCACCUCAGCAAGCGCUGCCUCACCCGGCUUCCUCAAUUCCACUCCGGCAGAGCUGAUGCAGGCCAAGAAACAGGGAGUGCCGACAAUAGAACUUGUAUGUGCAGUUUCAGUCACUGCUUGCUACUUUCAGUAGCUAAGUAAGUUCAGUUCAGUUGAUUCAGUCACUGCUUAUUUCUUCAGUAGCUAGAUAAGUCCAAUUUAGUUGUACUGCUCGUCAACUGAAUUGGCCAGAAGUGAGCUUUGUUCUUGCUGCGGCCUUGCAUAUUUCAGACAUCGAGAGUGUAGAUCACAGCCUCAAAACCAACAUAGUUGAGCAGUACACAAAUCAAAAUCAAAGAGUUUGUACUGGUAAACUCCAUUUUGUAAAUCAAGCAUGGCAAGUUUUGCAAAUGAAAUUCAAAGAACUACUAGUAAAGUCAAAAUCAAAGAGUUUAACAUGGCAAGUUUUGUGUAGUUGAACUUCUCCAUUUUGCUUUUGUCUUGCUGGAGUAGUUGUAUUGAAAUUCAGUUCUGUAAAACUAAUGUGAUGGGGCUGCUUGAUCAGGAGUAAUUGGAGUAGUUGUGCAAGUCAGGAGUAGGUUGAAUAAAUUUUUUCACUUUUCUUAAUGUGAUGUUGCUGCUGUACUCCCUAAUUCACAUUGAAAUAGGAGUAGUUUCUUAAUGUGAUGCUGUUGUUGCUUUUACUCCAGCAGUUUUCUGUAGUUGUAUUGAAAUAGGAGUAGUUUCUAAAUGAAUCUUUUUCUUUAGUUAAAACUAAAUGAAAACUUUUUCAGUUAAUCAACUAGUAGACAGCUUAGAGAAUCAACUGAGACUGUAGCUGCUGAAAAGAAAGUCAAUGAUCUAAUUACUUCUUCCUCUAAAAAGCAGAAACCUGCUAAAGUUUCCCUCCCCCUUUUACAACUGUUCUGUGUUAUGGUGCAACUUCAUUUGUAUUAAGUUAUCAUAUAGUUGAUGAGAAGUUGGAUAGAGAGGCAAAAAUAAAUAUAUUUAUUGUCAGACAUCCAACCUGUAUAUUGCCGUUUGUCAGUUUACUUAUAGUCCACACUAUUUUUAUUUUAUGCACAAGUACCUUUUUACACACCAUCUCACUUUUGGCAAUUGUGUUUUCCGUGAUCAUUCCUUCAGUUGACUGCAAGUACUUGGUACGGGACAAUGUAAUAUUAUGAACUUUCAGGAAGUUAGCUCGCGUGCGGCGGCUGCGGCGGUGCUGCGGCGGCGACGGCGACAUCGACAUCGACGGGGCUGCGGCGGCGACGACGACAUCAUCAUCACGGUGGUGCGGUGGCGACUACGACAUCAACACCAUCAACACGGGCUUGUGGAGGCGCCGAUGCCGACGACCUAUAUGCGUGGUAUAUAUUGUGUGUGUGCGCGCGCACACGUGCGCGUGUGUGGGUGUGCGUGUGUUAAUUAUCUACAUCAGAUAUGUAUGAUUGAUGAUUGACUGUUUGCAUAACAUGUACGUAUUGUGAAAUGCAUGUCUAAGCUGAAAUAGGUAAACUUUUAUUUUUUUAAA